AAGGAUCAUUGUCGAUGCCUCAAUCCAGAGAGACCCGCGGACACGUUUUGCCAACGCCCGGGACGGGCGGAGCUGCCCAGCAGCCCGCCCUCCCAGGAUGUCGGGACGGAGCCGCGCCACGCGGCCUCUCGUCCCGGCGCAACAACCAACAAACCCCGGCGCGGAACGCGCCAAGGAAUCAACAAUCGCAAAGCGCGCCCCGUCGGCCCGGGAACGGUGCCCGCACGGGGGACGUCGCAACAAUCGAGUCCAAAACGACUCUCGGCAACGGAUAUCUCGGCUCUUGCAUCGAUGAAGAACGCAGCGAAAUGCGAUACUUGGUGUGAAUUGCAGAAUCCCGUGAACCAUCGAGUCUUUGAACGCAAGUUGCGCCCGAAGCCGCUAGGCCAAGGGCACGCCUGCCUGGGUGUCACCAAUCGCCGCCCCAACCCCUGUGCCUCCGGCCACGGAGCGGGGCGAACGCUGGCCUCCCGUGAGCACCGCCUCGCGGCUGGCUGAAAAUCGGGUUCGUGGUGGACGCAGCGCCAUGACAUACGGUGGUUGAGCGUGUUCUCGAGGCCAGUCAUGCGCGAGGCCCCCACCAGCCGCGGACCCAGUGACCCACGAGCGACUCCGGUCGCCCACGACGCGACCUCAGGUCAGGC
rnacentral:misc_RNA from 1 species